rnacentral:rRNA from 1 species
UACGGAGGGAGCUAGCGUUGUUCGGAAUUACUGGGCGUAAAGCGCGCGUAGGCGGCUCUUUAAGUCCCGUGUGAAAGCCCCCGGCUCAACCGGGGAACUGCACGGGAAACUGGAAGGCUUGAGUUCGGGAGAGGGAUGUGGAAUUCCAGGUGUAGCGGUGAAAUGCGUAGAUAUCUGGAGGAACACCGGUGGCGAAGGCGGCAUCCUGGGCCGGUAUUGACGCUGAGGCGCGAAAGCUAGGGGAGCAAACGGG